UGACAACUUUAAAUCCAGCAAGGAAUGCAUAGAAGCUAAAGUAGUGGUGCGCUUCAUCCUUGGUCUUGAAUUCCUGUCCAAUUACAGAUUGUCAAAGAUAUCAAUUUGCCAAUUGCCGUCUUCUCGUUCGCCUUCUCUCUCUUGUUGUGUGAAUGCUGAAAAUUCCUGCAAAAAAAAAAAACAGAUAAGUUGUCAUGACUUUAGCUAUUCUCAUGUUUCUAAAUAAUUUAAACUAUUUUUUUUUAAAUGUACCUCAUGAUAUGAAAUUGAAUGAUCGUUGUAAUUUAUUGUAUCAUUGUUCCUAUCCAGAUUUGCGAUGUUUUCCUGCUCAACCAAAUAAUGAGCAUAUGACAUAAUUUGACAUACCAAGUCCUAAAUGCAUGUCUGAAUAAGGGCCUAAUGCAAUCAGUAUAAUCUGGAUUCAAGUGUCCCAAUAUAUGGGAGUUAAGAUCAAUAGCAUGUCCUCAGAUUCAUCUUCGUUGGGUUAUGCAGAAGAAAUAUGCACUCAACAAUGUCAAAAGAUUAAACGAAGGAGGAUACAGAAGAGGUAUGUAUCA